rnacentral:rRNA from 1 species
UACGUAGGGGGCUAGCGUUGUCCGGAUUUAUUGGGCGUAAAGGGUGCGUAGGCGGCGCGGUAAGUCGGGUGUGAAAUCUCGGAGCUUAACUCCGAAACUGCAUUCGAUACUGCCGUGCUUUGAGGACUGGAGAGGAGACUGGAAUUUACGGUGUAGCGGUGAAAUGCGUAGAUAUCGUAAGGAAGACCAGUGGCGAAGGCGGGUCUCUGGGACGGUACUGACGCUGAGACGCGAAAGCGUGGGGAGCGAACAGG